GAUGAACGCUGGCGGCGUGCCUAAUACAUGCAAGUCGAGCGAAUGGAUUGAGAGCUUGCUCUUAUGAAGUUAGCGGCGGACGGGUGAGUAACACGUGGGUAACCCGCCCAUAAGACCGGGAUAACUCCGGGAAACCGGGGCUAAUACCGGAUAACAUUUUGAACCGCAUGGUUCGAAAUUGAAAGGCGGCUUCGGCUGUCACUUAUGGAUGGACCCGCGUCGCAUUAGCUAGUUGGUGAGGUAACGGCUCACCAAGGCAACGAUGCUGAGCCGACCGGAGAGGGUGAUCGGCCACACUGGGACUGAGACACGGCCCAGACUCCUACGGGAGGCAGCAGUAGGGAAUCUUCCGGAAUGGACGAAAGUCUGACGGAGCAACGCCGCGUGAGUGAUGAAGGCUUUCGGGUCGUAAAACUCUGUUGUUAGGGAAGAACAAGUGCUAGUUGAAUAAGCUGGCACCUUGACGGUACCUAACCAGAAAGCCACGGCUAACUACGUGCCAGCCGCCGCGGUAA
rnacentral:rRNA from 1 species